CAAAGGGGUGCCCAUUAAGCGGCUGAGAUCAUACCCUACGAACCUGAUGCGGUUAGUACCGCCGAAGGGAUUGUU
rnacentral:ncRNA from 1 species